UACAGAGGUCUCAAGCGUUGUUCGGAUUCAUUGGGCGUAAAGGGUGCGUAGGCGGCGCGGUAAGUCGGGUGUGAAAUCUCGGAGCUUAACUCCGAAACUGCAUUCGAUACUGCCGUGCUUGAGGACUGGAGAGGAGAUUGGAAUUCACGGUGUAGCAGUGAAAUGCGUAGAUAUCGUGAGGAAGACCAGUGCGAAGGCGGAGUCUCUGGACGUUCCUGACGCUGAGGCGCGAAGGCCAGGGGAGCAAACGGG
rnacentral:rRNA from 1 species